CAUAGGAGCUGUGACCUGCCUGCGUUGUGCAAAAGUGCUUAUAGUGCAGGUAGAAUUUAAACCUACUGCACCAUAAGCACUUCCUGCAUCACUAAGGUGCAUAAAUCUGCCCCUGCU
rnacentral:tRNA from 14 species